UACAGAGGUCUCAAGCGUUGUUCGGAUUCAUUGGGCGUAAAGGGUGCGUAGGUGGUGAUGCAAGUCUGGUGUGAAAUCUCGGAGCUCAACUCCGAAAUUGCACCGGAUACUGCGUGACUCGAGGACUGUAGAGGAGAUCGGAAUUCACGGUGUAGCAGUGAAAUGCGUAGAUAUCGUGAGGAAGACCAGUUGCGAAGGCGGAUCUCUGGGCAGUUCCUGACACUGAGGCACGAAGGCCAGGGGAGCAAACGAG
rnacentral:rRNA from 1 species